GCAAAUUUCGUGGCAAAUCGCAAUAAGUAAUCGAAAUAUAUGUUAAUUAUGAGUAUGUUACAAAUAUGUGUUGCGGUUUCGUAAACCGUAGGUCACCGGUUCGAAUCCGGUCAUUGGCUCCA
rnacentral:tRNA from 1 species